rnacentral:rRNA from 1 species
AUUGAACGCUGGCGGCAGGCUUAACACAUGCAAGUCGAGGGGUAGCAGGGUAGCAAUACCGCUGACGACCGGCGCACGGGUGAGUAACACGUAUCCAACCUUCCCAUAACUCGGGGAUAGCCUUUCGAAAGAAAGAUUAAUACCCGAUAGUACUUAUAUAGGGCAUCCUACAUAAGUUAAAGAUUUAUUGGUUAUGGAUGGGGAUGCGUUCCAUUAGAUAGUUGGUGAGGUAACGGCUCACCAAGUCUUCGAUGGAUAGGGGUUCUGAGAGGAAGGUCCCCCACAUUGGUACUGAGACACGGACCAAACUCCUACGGGAGGCAGCAGUGAGGAAUAUUGGUCAAUGGGCGAGAGCCUGAACCAGCCAAGUAGCGUGAAGGAUGAAGGUCCUAUGGAUUGUAAACUUCUUUUAUAGUAGAAUAAAGUGAUCCACGUGUGGAUUUUUGUAUGUAUACUAUGAAUAAGGAUCGGCUAACUCCGUGCCAGCAGCCGCCGCCG